GGGGGAAAACACAAAAUUUCGUUCAUCCAUUACUGAAUGCCAUAGCUUAGAGAACUCGGGAAUUUAUGAGCAAUGGGAAACUGGAAGCAGGCAAUGUUUCCUGGACAAAACGAACAAUAAUCCCUCAUGCACCGUAGUUCAAGAACAAAGGCCAUUGAAGCCUAGUAACCAUCACAACAGUAAUGGCUAUUUUUUUUAAUCGUGUAUAAUUCUUCAGAUUAAAUCCAGGAUUGAACUUUUUGAAGAGUGAAAAUGGAAAUAAAGGCAUUAUGUGUUCAAAAGCUGAGUUAGUGUAUACGUACUAAAAUCUAUCUGAUAAGAAUCCGCAUCCUUUCUUGCCAGAACAAAAAGGCAACUUUGGGUAUCAUCUAGUCUACAGCCUUUUCACUGUUGUAUUGAAUCUCAUCUGAUAAGGAAAAACAAAAACCAAGGAAGCCUUUUUAAGUGAAAAUACAUUGAUUAGAACAAAAAGCUAUGCACAAACAGAGAGCUUCACGUCUCUUUCUUCUUGUUUCUUUUACACAAAAUGUGUAUAUUGAGAGAGUACACUUCAAUUGAAUCUUCAACAAUGCUGUACUAUUUUUUUUUUCAAAGGGGAGAAGAAAAGAGUAAA
rnacentral:misc_RNA from 1 species